CAAGUAGCUGAUAUCUUCACUAAGCCACUCAAGCGAGAAGACUUUAUCAAGAUGAGGAUCUUACUCGGAGUAACCAAAUCAAGUUUAAGAGGGGGUGUUGAAAAAUAAACUUGAUUUGGAUCAAACAUUAUUGGGUUAAUCAUGUGUUGAUCCAAAACUUAGCCCAAAUUCUAGAAAAAUCAUCCACCUCCUUAAAAUAAAAAUCUAGAUAUUCUUAUAGAAUUAUCUAGAUAAUUAAGAUAAAAUAAUCUAGAUUUUUAAGUAGAAUUCUCUAGAUUUAAGAUUAAAAUAUGUAAGAUAUUUUGUACUUUGGAGGCUAUAAAUACCUCCACUCUCUUCUCAUUUUGCAUCACCAAGAAAUAAUCCAAGUUUGUAACAAGUAAUAAAAUCCUCUUCUAAGUUAUAUAAUCUUUCUUCUUCACAAAACUUCUUUCUCUUCAAAUACUUAAACACUUUUUCCAUCUUUAUAAAGUUUUUCAUUCCAAUAGGGACGCCCAGUUUUGGACGAAGGAGAAUCCAAACCGUUGGUCGUGGCAAGAACAUGAGCUAAAAUGAGAAGGGUGAGAGAUAGUUUGAGAUACAUAUCAUGUUUAGUUUUUGCCAUUGGAAAGAAUGUAUGGAUGGUUUUUGCAAGCUGCAGCAUAUGAUAUUAUAGAACGAAAUAAAAAUUUCGUUUGCUUUUUCUUUUUAAAGAAAAAAACUAGGAUAGAUAAUAUUAAAUAGCGUUUUAAGGCUUGAAGUGUCUCGCCACGUAGUUUCUAUGUUAGGUACGUGACAUAUACAAGAGCAUUAGACAUAUUCCUGUAUGGGGUCAGAAUAUGAAACCUGUUAUAAAUGAAUGAUUGGAUGUCUAUAACCGGCUCAUACAACUAGAGAGAGAUUUGGCUACGACUUGGAGAAAGAAAUAGAGAGAGUCAGCCAUGACAUGGAGAGAAAGAAAGGCGGCUUGGAGAAAAGAAAACCAUCUUUUCUUUUCCUUAUAAUUGUUAUCUUUCCAUUAUUAUGUAUUAGUAGUUUUCCUAAUCCUAGUGGAUUUAGGUUUUGAAUACUUUUCUUUUUACUUAUCUUGUAAUCCCCUAUAUAAGGGAACAUUUAUUCAUUAAUGAAAUACAGAAAUAUUCAGACCUAAAACCUUCGUUUUACAACAAAACAUAUAUUUAAUGGGUGUUAUUGAAUUUGGUAUUUUAAUAGACUUUGAUGGAAUUUGAAUCUGAAAUGAAAUCCAGUGUUAUUCAAUCGUGGAUUUGGAAAAAAUUAAUUAAAAUCCAGUGUUAUUGGAUUAAGGAUUUGUCAAAUAGAAUUUGGAAAGAAUUAAUUUCACCUGUUAUUCAAUUUCCAAUAGAUUUCAAUAGAAAUUGUUUAUAAUAGAUUUUGAUGUACUUUUUAAUAGAAAACAAGAGGAAACAAAUCUCAGCUUUUUUUGCUUGGAUUUUGAAGACACCAAGAGUUUCGACGAAACCCUAACCAUUCGCCGAUUUUUCUCCGCCUCCACCGUUCGCGUCUGUCUCGCAGUCCUACAGCCUUCCGCUGGAACCUGGACUACUUUGAAUCCAUCUCAUGUGGCUAAAGCUCUAGCUGGUACCUCGGUCUUUACGUUUAGCAACAACUCGACUACUUUUUAUCUUUGUUUUAUGAGGGUCAAACUGAUGAUACAAUUUUUACAAGGGUCAUAAGCUAACUUCAUUAUACAUUUCCACAAGAUAUACAUGCAAAUUUUUUUUUUUUUUCAAAAUUUCGCAUGGGUCAUAUGACCCACAUGAUUAUAUACUACCUCCGCCACUGAAGUCUAUCAGUUUGCUGUGUUUCAGCCAAGAGGAUGCUGAACUUUUCUUGCUCAGAGAAGAGAAUUGAAAACCAGUGCUAAGGUUGUUCCCACUAAUCUGGACCAGAUUUUAUUCAGAAAGUUUUUGGAAUAUGAAAAAUAUGGUGGUGAUGAGGAGAGAGUUGAGUACGUGAAGCAAAGGGCAAUGGAGUAUGCGGACAGUAUCUUGGCCUGAGAUAUUGUUGUAACAAACGACACAGUUAUUUUAAGAAGGGAAGAAGAAAUAAUAAACAACAUUGGGAAGUAUCUUGAGGAAGAGGAGACCAAUGGGAUGUGGUUGAUCUUGAUACAUCUUCUCUGUUGUGUUCUUAUUUGAGGUUUUGUGCUUUGUUUAUAACGAGUCUUCUACUUAUCUUCGCUUUGAUUUGGAAACAAACUCCAUUUAAAUCCUUUCACAAAAAUCAAUAAGUCUUAGGAUACACAGAUAUACAGUACGUUGCAGAUUUGGGUUGCGGUGUUUUGAACAUUAUUAAUCGGUUUCUUAGUGAUCA